CAAUUAAAUAUUAAAAACUUUUUUCAGAGAAAGCUAAAAUGUACUAAGUAAAGAUGGCCCUCUCUCUUCUGGCGGAUUACUCCUCCGACGGAACAGAUUCGGACUCCGACGACGGAAUCAGCGUUGUAAUAAACAAAAAUCCGCAACAGAAAAAACAACACACAAGAACGGAACGAACCAGACCCCCGCCAAGGACCAAGCGACCUGCCGCCGCCCAAAGUGGGAAAGUAAAGACGAAGUUCUCCAGGAGUGAAUCUGUCCUGGAUAAUUCACACAACCCGGAGUAUGAUGAGCCUCAGGAAUCCAUCCCUCUCCCCUCAACAGUACUCACUAUGUUCGACAAAACCGAGGAACAAGAGGCCCUUGACUCAGCUGUGUUCCACAAAGGUAGAGUCCGUUCCUUCCCUCACGAGAAGAACAACUGGGCAUCCUUCAUCUACAUAGAUGUAUCCGACCUGGAGCUUGACGAGGUUAGAUCCUGGUUAGUCAAGGAGCUGGAUCUUGAACCUACCGAGGAUACUCAUGUUUCACUCAGCAGAACUGUUAGUCUCAGGCAUCAUUGGAUCGACCCUGUGAUUCAGGGGAUCAGCCAGGGGUUCAAGGACGUGGACAGGUUCACCAUUAAGCUGGAUAAGUUGGCUGUCUACCUCAACGAUGAGAGAACAAGGACGUUUGUUGGACUUGAAGCAACGGGAGGAGUUCCACAACUCAGUAAACUAUCUAAAGCUGUUGAUGUUGUCCUCCGAGAUUUCUCCCUGCCUCCCUUCUACUAUCCUCCAUCCUUUCAUGUCAGCCUCGGUUGGUGCCUUGGGAACAGACUCAAGGAUAUUCAUCCUCAGCUCUCAUCAUUAGAGUUGAAGAUGCUGGAUGUUAUCGAGGAAGUUGACGAUUUUGGCAAAUUAUUCGUCAAGGCGGCGCACUGUAAAUCUGGAAACCGGUUUUUUGAUUUUAAGCUCAAGUAGUUUAAAGUAGCCUUCGAGUUUUUCUAAUCAAGUUAAAACAGAAGUCGGAUUUAAUGAACAGGACGGAAUAAUUCACAGUACCUCAAAGUCGUUCACAAUUAGAAGAGUGUUUCGCAUCCUUCAUGAAUGAUUUUACAUAUUUUUUUUCUAAAUAAAUUUCUAUAAAAUCUAA
rnacentral:misc_RNA from 1 species